rnacentral:rRNA from 1 species
AUGGCACAGUUUGCUGGCCUUACUCGCUCAAGCUUGCAUGCCAUAGUCUGGAAGGCUUGGGCACCCCCCAAGUGUAAUUUUUUUGCCUGGCUUGUCACUCAAAACAGAAUUUGGGUUGCCGAUAGGCUCCAACAGCGAGGAUGGCCUAAUUGCGACCGAUGUCCACUCUGUAAUCAGGUGCAAGAAUCUGCGGCUCACCUCCUCUUCAAGUGCAGGUUCUCUACUAGAGUUUGGAAUGAGGUGUUUGCCUGGCUUGGUCUAAAUAUCCCCGCGACUCCUUGGCUCCAGUUUAACACAGUCAAAUCUUGGUGGGAUGCGCUACUCACUAACAAUGAUCAACCCACGAAAGCUCUAUCUUCCCUUCUCCUUCUUGUGGGAUGGGAACUUUGGAAGGAAAGGAAUGCGCGUGUCUUCAGGAACAAGGCGGCGCCGCUGGCGAUUAUCAUGCGAUGCAUCAAAGAAAAAGUGUCCAUUCGGGCCAUUGCGGCGUAA